GGGGGAUAAAAAUCACAAGAACAAACUUCUCAAAGAGGAAAGCUGUACAAAACUCUCCUACUAUAUCCACUACACCUGCAACCAAUGUUAUUAAAAUCGAGAUUCAACUUGUAAAAUCAUACAAGUUUACGAUCCCAAGAAUGAAAAAACUCUAAAUUGUGACUAAAAUCGAAAAUCUGUAAAAUGCCGUAAAACUCGCUUUUUGAAAUAGUAGAAUCGUUAAAAGAGGCAAACUUGUUC
rnacentral:misc_RNA from 1 species